GGCCCUGCUCCAACCCAUUUGUCCCCUCCUCUUCCACCGGAGCCUCGAGCUGCUGAUUUUAGUCGACCACCUCUACAUCCUCGAGCCACGGUCGUCCAUCUCCAUCUCUAGCCGCCCUGGUUCAUCUCAGGCGUUCUCUACUGGUCUCUCUGCAAGCUCUUACUGUUUGUCUGAAGGUAAUUUCACUCCCACUAGUCCACCUGUUGUUGUUUAGUUUCACUUCCACCUGUUUUGUGAACAUCACAAAAUUGUUGUUGUUGUUGUUGUUGUUGUUGUUGUUGUUGUUGUUGUUUUAUGCUGAUCCUAAAUGCUUGUAAUCAUUCAUCUCACUCCAGGUUUCACACACUCCUGUAUUCUCCGGAACAACAAACAAACACACAGUGAGGAGAGCCUUUGUAGCAACCAACUGUUAUCUUCCACCCAGUACUACCGCA
rnacentral:lncRNA from 1 species